rnacentral:rRNA from 1 species
UCAUUAACUGAAUCCAUAGGUUAAUGAGGCGAACCGGGGGAACUGAAACAUCUAAGUACCCCGAGGAAAAGAAAUCAACCGAGAUUCCCCCAGUAGCGGCGAGCGAACGGGGAGGAGCCCAGAGCCUGAAUCAGUGUGUGUGUUAGUGGAAGCGUCUGGAAAGGCGCGCGAUACAGGGUGACAGCCCCGUACACAAAAAUGCACAUACUGUGAGCUCGAUGAGUAGGGCGGGACACGUGGUAUCCUGUCUGAAUAUGGGGGGACCAUCCUCCAAGGCUAAAUACUCCUGACUGACCGAUAGUGAACCAGUACCGUGAGGGAAAGGCGAAAAGAACCCCGGCGAGGGGAGUGAAAAAGAACCUGAAACCGUGUACGUACAAGCAGUGGGAGCCUCUUAAUGGGGUGACUGCGUACCUUUUGUAUAAUGGGUCAGCGACUUAUAUUCUGUAGCAAGGUUAACCGAAUAGGGGAGCCGAAGGGAAACCGAGUCUUAACUGGGCGUUAAGUUGCAGGGUAUAGACCCGAAACCCGGUGAUCUAGCCAUGGGCAGGUUGAAGGUUGGGUAACACUAACUGGAGGACCGAACCGACUAAUGUUGAAAAAUUAGCGGAUGACUUGUGGCUGGGGGUGAAAGGCCAAUCAAACCGGGAGAUAGCUGGUUCUCCCCGAAAGCUAUUUAGGUAGCGCCUCGUGAAUUCAUCUCCGGGGGUAGAGCACUGUUUCGGCAAGGGGGUCAUCCCGACUUACCAACCCGAUGCAAACUGCGAAUACCGGAGAAUGUUAUCACGGGAGACACACGGCGGGUGCUAACGUCCGUCGUGAAGAGGGAAACAACCCAGACCGCCAGCUAAGGUCCCAAAGUCAUGGUUAAGUGGGAAACGAUGUGGGAAGGCCCAGACAGCCAGGAUGUUGGCUUAGAAGCAGCCAUCAUUUAAAGAAAGCGUAAUAGCUCACUGGUCGAGUCGGCCUGCGCGGAAGAUGUAACGGGGCUAAACCAUGCACCGAAGCUGCGGCAGCGACGCUUAUGCGUUGUUGGGUAGGGGAGCGUUCUGUAAGCCUGUGAAGGUGGCCUGUGAGGGUUGCUGGAGGUAUCAGAAGUGCGAAUGCUGACAUAAGUAACGAUAAAGCGGGUGAAAAGCCCGCUCGCCGGAAGACCAAGGGUUCCUGUCCAACGUUAAUCGGGGCAGGGUGAGUCGACCCCUAAGGCGAGGCCGAAAGGCGUAGUCGAUGGGAAACAGGUUAAUAUUCCUGUACUUGGUGUUACUGCGAAGGGGGGACGGAGAAGGCUAUGUUGGCCGGGCGACGGUUGUCCCGGUUUAAGCGUGUAGGCUGGU